AUUACUAGUUUAAUCUUGAGUAUCAGGAGGAAGCAGUGUGUACCUUGGAGUUCAUUCAAAGGUGCUUUGUGGGCAUAAAUCCAGAGAGAGGACCCAAAGCCAAGGGAAAAGUGCCAUCGAAAUAAAAGCAGGACAAGUGAUACAGAAGAAAAUGUGUGGCAGUCAACCCACAUGUUGCCACUCUUCUGUGCAAAUUCCAAUGGAAUUUCUGAAAUUCACACUUUGAAUCCUGGGAUGGAACUUCAUCUGGAGCAUAAUUGUUAUUUGGUUGAUUUUUAUCUGUUUGAUGGAAAGUUUGUAUGACUUCUGCAAGUGCGCGGCUCCUUCCGGUCAGUCAUGCAUCACUUUUUUUUGUAUGACUUGUUUGGCAAUAUUGGUCUAUUCCUUAAUGAUGAUAGCUAUCUGAAAAUGUCUUUGUGGUUUUUAAAGGAUUAGUUCACCCAAAAAUGAAAAUUAAGUCAAUAAUUACUUAUGCCGUUUCACACCCGUAAGAUCUUCGUUCAUCCUCACAACAGACAUUAAGAUGUGGCUCAGUGAAGCGUGCAUUUCUAGCAAGAUCAUUUCUUUUUUUUCAAUGCCCAGAAAGCCUCUAAAACAUUUAAAACAAUUCAUGUGACUACAGUUGUUCAACCUAAAUAUUAUAAAGCGACGUGAAUACUUUUUUUGCCCCCCCCCCCACCCCCAUCUCCCAAAACAACGAUUUUAUUCAACUAUAUCUAGUGAUGGGCGAUCUCAAAACACUGCUUCAUGAAGCUUAGAAGCUUUACGAAUCUUUUGUUUCAAAUCAUUUGCUCAGAACGUGUAUCAAACUGCAAAAGUCACACGAACCAUUGAAAUUUCAAAACACUUAUGACGUAACGAAGCCUCAUUUACUGAAAUCAUGUGACUUUGGCAGUUUGAUAUGCUCUGAUUUGAACUGAAAGAUUAAUAAAGCUUUGAAGCUUCAUGAAGCAGUGUCAUCCAUCACGAGAUACUGUUGAAUAGUCAUUAUUUAGUUUUUUGGCACACAAAAAGUAUUU